rnacentral:ncRNA from 1 species
UUAAAGAGCAAAGUAAGCGAAAGUUUAUGACGCAAAGCCGAAGGUCUAAAAGUUAUAAAACUCAAGAUAGCUAGGUUGC